rnacentral:rRNA from 1 species
GGACGAACGCUGGCGGCGUGCUUAACACAUGCAAGUCGAGCGGUAAGGCCCUUUCGGGGGUACGACGAGCGGCGAACGGGUGAGUAACACGUGGGUGACCUGCCCUUAGCUCUGGGAUAAGCCUGGGAAACUGGGUCUAAUACCGGAUAUGACUCCAUAACGCAUGUUGUGGGGUGGAAAGCCUUGUGCGGCUAGGGAUGGGCCCGCGGCCUAUCAGCUUGUUGGUGGGGUGAUGGCCUACCAAGGCGACGACGGGUAGCCGGCCUGAGAGGGCGACCGGCCACACUGGGACUGAGACACGGCCCAGACUCCUACGGGAGGCAGCAGUGGGGAAUCUUGCGCAAUGGGCGAAAGCCUGACGCAGCGACGCCGCGUGAGGGAUGACGGCCUCGGUGUAA